rnacentral:lncRNA from 1 species
UUGCAAGGGAAAUAGUGUAGAACUUGUAAAAAAAAAAAUAAAGAAACAAUGCCUAAGUUGCUGGAAAAGAAAAUUGCAAAAGCGAAAAACGGCAAAAGAAAAAAAUUGGAAAAGCUUCGGAACCACUUUAGGUUUUUUUAGUGGCUAUUUAUAUUGGUGUCAUUAAGUAACUGCCUGCUGCCAAAAGGUCUUCAACGUGGCUAAUUGCAUGGCGUGGAUAUAGGGCCCAACACUCCUCAACGUCUCUUCAAGUCUCUGAGGCGUUACUUGCGCCAAAAAUGUAGGGGAAUGGUG